rnacentral:rRNA from 1 species
AGCGGCAGGCUUCAUACAUGCAAGUCGAGGGGCAGCAUAAAUUACUUGUAAUUUGAUGGCGACCGGCGAACGGGUGCGUAACGCGUAUGCAACUUACCUUUUACUAGAGAAUAGCCAAGAGAAAUUUUGAUUAAUGCUCUAUACACUUACUAACUUUCAUGAGUUUGUAAGAAAAGCUCCGGCGGUAAAAGAUGGGCAUGCGUCCUAUUAGCUUGUAGGUGAGGUAACGGCUCACCUAAGCUCCGAUAGGUAGGGGUCCUGAGAGGGAGACCCCCCACACUGGUACUGAGACACGGACCAGACUUCUACGGAAGGCAGCAGUAAGGAAUAUUGGACAAUGGAGGAAACUCUGAUCCAGCCAUGCCGCGUGAAGGAUGACGGCCUUAUGGGUUGUAAACUUCUUUUAUACAGGAAUAAACCUAUCCACGUGUGGAUAGCUGAAGGUACUGUAAGAAUAAGGAUCGGCUAACUCCGUGCCAGCAGCCGCGGUAAUACGGAGGAUCCAAGCGUUAUCCGGAAUUAUUGGGUUUAAAGGGUCCGCAGGCUGUUUGUUAAGUCAGAGGUGAAAUCCUACCGCUCAACGGUAGAACUGCCUUUGAUACUGGCAAACUUGAGUUAUUGUGAAGUAGUUAGAAUGUGUAGUGUAGCGGUGAAAUGCAUAGAUAUUACACAGAAUACCGAUUGCGAAAGCAGAUUACUAACAAUUAACUGACGCUGAGGGACGAAAGCGUGGGUAGCGAACAGGAUUAGAUACCCUGGUAGUCCACGCCGUAAACGAUGGUCACUAGCUGUUCGAUGUACAUUGGUACAUUGAGUGGCUAAGCGAAAGUGAUAAGUGACCCACCUGGGGAGUACGCUCGCA